CUGUGGCCCUAUCGAAGUCGAUUUAGUCUGCACGUGGCUGAAUCGGUCAAUGUGGUGCCUACAGUGAAAUCUUUUACCGACGGUCGCUGUUUAGCUUUGUUGUAGCUUACCAGCAACACCAAAGGAAAAGGACAACA